rnacentral:rRNA from 1 species
GACGAACGCUGGCGGCGUGCUUAACACAUGCAAGUCGAACGAAGAGCGAUGGAAGCUUGCUUCUAUCAAUCUUAGUGGCGAACGGGUGAGUAACGCGUAAUCAACCUGCCCUUCAGAGGGGGACAACAGUUGGAAACGACUGCUAAUACCGCAUACGAUCUAAUCUCGGCAUCGAGGAUAGAUGAAAGGUGGCCUCUACAUGUAAGCUAUCACUGAAGGAGGGGAUUGCGUCUGAUUAGCUAGUUGGAGGGGUAACGGCCCACCAAGGCGAUGAUCAGUAGCCGGUCUGAGAGGAUGAACGGCCACAUUGGGACUGAGACACGGCCCAGACUCCUACGGGAGGCAGCAGGGGGGAAUCUUCCGCAAUGGACGAAAGUCUGACGGAGCAACGCCGCGGGAGGGAUGACGGCCUUCGGGUUGUAAAGCUCUGUUAAUCGGGACGAAAGGCCUUCUUGCGAAUAGUGAGAAGGAUUGACGGUACCGGAAUAGAAAGCCACGGCUAACUACGUG